rnacentral:lncRNA from 1 species
GGGAAAUCUGGAGCUCCGUCCCUGUUGGUGGGAGUAUAAACUCAACCAGUUUUCCUACAGGAUAAUUUGAACAUUUCUUUUAAAAAUCCUAAAACUGUUUUAUAUUAUUUUCCUCCAGAAAUUCUACUUCUAUGAAUUCAGUGCAAAAAUCCUUUCUCGAGUCCAUUAAAAUGUGUAUAGAAGGAAAUUCACCUCUGGGGUGGCAACGAUUCACUUAACGUACAUCCAGCUAUUAAAAAUGAUGAUGCCAAGAUAUAUUUCUGCCAUAGAAACAUGCUUAAAAUAUAGAAAGAGACAAGAUAAAAAAAGAGGAGCAAAAGAAAAAAGAAUGCAUCAACCAAGAACCUCAAAAAACACUCCAACGAUUGAGAGCAUUUAAAGAUAAACGCCUAGCUCAAUCUGUCCGAAACACCUCUGGCUCAGAACCUGUGGCUCCAAACCUGCCAGGUGACCUUUCCCAGCGACGUGCUUGCCAGCUUCCCAGGCGGUGUCAGUAAUUCACCCGUCC